rnacentral:rRNA from 1 species
UACGUAGGGCGCAAGCGUUAUCCGGAAUUAUUGGGCGUAAAGAGCUCGUAGGCGGUUUGUCGCGUCUGCCGUGAAAAUCCGGGGCUCAACCCCGGACUUGCAGUGGGUACGGGCAGACUAGAGUGUGGUAGGGGAGACUGGAAUUCCUGGUGUAGCGGUGAAAUGCGCAGAUAUCAGGAGGAACACCGAUGGCGAAGGCAGGUCUCUGGGCCACUACUGACGCUGAGAAGCGAAAGCGUGGGGAGCGAACAGG